rnacentral:rRNA from 1 species
GACGAACGCUGGCGGCGUGCCUAAUACAUGCAAGUAGAACGCAGUUGCGAACGGGAGAGUAACGCGUAGGUAACUGCCUCAUAGCUGGGGAUAACUAUUGGAAACGAUAGCUAAUACCGCAUACUGUGAGAUUGACCUGCGUUGUAUUAGCUAGUUGGUGAGGUAAAGGCUCACCAAGGCGACGAUACAUAGCCGACAUGAGCGGGGGGUCGGCCACACUGGGAGUGAGACACGGCCCAGACUCCUACGGGAGGCACCAGUAGGGAAUCGUCGGCAAUGGACGAAAGUCUUACCUAGCAACGCCGCGUGAGUGAAGGAGGUUUUGGGAUCGGAAAACUCUGUUGUUAGAGAAGCGGUAUCUAACCAGAAAGCCACGGCUAACGACGUGCCAGCAGCCGCGGUAAUUC